UUGGUAUUAGUUUUGCCCUUCGAUAGAGACACACAGGUUCCCUAUGGAAGUUUAAUGGCGGCUUUGUUUCAAGGUUGCCUUCGUCUCGUACCUACUAAGAGGAGUCGACUCCAGCGGGUUAAAUUAUAAAAAGCAACAGGAUGUAUGCGUUGGACAUCGGACUAAGCCUAGCCAGGCAUCCAUCACAGUUGGUAGUUCCACGGGUCAACAUCGAUCCUGCCGAAGCAGAGAUCUCCGUUUUGUUUUGGGUGUGGUAAUGAUCCUUCCGCAGGUUCACCUACGGAAA
rnacentral:misc_RNA from 1 species